UUCCCCUCUCUCUCCUGCCCAUGCCGCGCGUGCCCAGAGCCGCCCGAGCCCGCCAAUGCGCGUGCGAGCUCAUGGCUCCACCCGGAGCUCUCCCAGCUCCUUCUCUCCCUUCCCCUGGCCGUAGACCAUCUCUACAAACGCCCCGGACACGCACACGCGAGCCCCCGUGACCCCUAGCAACGGCAACGACCUCGCCGGCGCACCCGUCCACGGUGCACCUCGCCCCCUUCUAUUUAAAGCCACCCCCGAGCCCCCUCUCUACUCCUUUGGCUUUCUCUCCCUCCCGUUCACCCCCUGGACCGACCCACUUCCCUCCUCGUGCCCUCCAACCACCUCCAUGGCCGGAGCCUUGCCCUCGGCCUCCGCCAAAAUUCGGAUUCACCACUCCUCCUCCUCCCCUCUGGACUGCACCAGAGCAUCUCCACCAUCACCGCAAGCCAUCCCGCUCUUCUCCCUCUCCUCCCCGUGGUCUUGCCGUCAAGUUCCAUCGUCACCGUCAGCCUCGUCCGCCGCGGCCGACGCCCUGCUCAACCCGGUGCCCCUGGGCGACCGAGCCACCCACGGUUGGACGCGGCCGGGUACCCUGAGCACGCCGGUGGUCAGCUCACCGGAAACGGUGGCCUGUGGCACCGGCAAGCCGCCGUCGACACCGCCCCUGCCCCUACUGUGUUCGAGCGGGAGGUUGGGGAUGAACCCGACAGAUGGGUCCCGCGUGUCGGCGACCCUGAGGGCCGGGCCCGCAGGUUAAGUGGACACGGUUUCUUCGGGAGCCGUCUGCCCGAGGCCAAGGCAUAUUCUAGGCGGGCGCCUUCGACGUCAUCGCUGUCGCCCGGUGCGGUCGUGCGGCUGGGCCAGGCCCAGUGCGUUGCCCCGCUAUGUCUCGCUCAGUGCACGCGGUCGCCGCUCAGAUCCAGCCCGUUUGGUUGACGAAGUAGACGCAAUGCUUGGAGUUGGACCAGAGAUAUUUGAAGACUUGAAGACUCUGAUGAACCAGGCAAGCAGCCCUUUGACCAUGUCUAUGAAACCCUUUUUAUGCAUGUCAUAUAGCACCAUAUUGUUGUUGCAACGGAAUCAUGAUGAGGUGGUAACCACCUUGAUGGGUUGCCUC